CUCAAAGGAAUUGACGGGGGCCCGCACAAGCAGUGGAGUAUGUGGUUUAAUUCGAAGCAACGCGAAGAACCUUACCAGGGCUUGACAUAUACAGGAAUACUUAAGAGAUUAAGUAGCUCUUCGGAGUCUGUAUACAGGUGGUGCAUGGUUGUCGUCAGCUCGUGCCGUGAGGUGUUGGGUUAAGUCCCGCAACGAGCGCAACCCCUGUUCUUAGUUGCCAGCAUGUAAAGAUGGGAACUCUAAGAAGACUGCCGUAGAUAAUACGGAGGAAGGUGGGGAUGACGUCAAAUCAUCAUGCCCUUUAUGUCCUGGGCUACACACGUACUACAAUGGCUGUAACAGAGGGAAGCGAAGCCGCGAGGUGGAGCAAAACCCAAAAAAGCAGUCUCAGUUCGGAUUGAAGGCUGAAAUUCGCCUUCAUGAAGCCGGAAUUGCUAGUAAUGGCAGGUCAGCAUACUGCCGUGAAUACGUUCCCGGGCCUUGUACACACCGCCCGUCACACCAUGAGAGUUGGGGAUACCCGAAGCCUGUGAGCCAACAGUUAAACGAGGCAGCAGUCGAAGGUAGAAUCAAUGAUUGGGGUGAAGUCGUAACAAGGUAGCCGUAUCGGAAGGUGCGGCUG
rnacentral:rRNA from 1 species